GCUUCACGAUGUUCUUGUGCCGGAUGCUGCCCAGCGUCUCCACCUCCGUGCGGAGCUCGCGGUCGCCGAGCCACCCGCCGCCGCCGCCGUCGCUUGUUGUGCUGUCUCUCGUGUUGGUUGUGUUGGUCAUCGCCGCCGCCGCCGCCCAGUCCACCUGCUUGCUGCUCGGCCCACGCAGCAGCCGUUUCGACGACGACAACCACAGCUUCUUCACCGCCACCAGCUCGCCGCUGCUAAGCUCGAUCUUGUACACGGUCCCAGAGCCCCCGUGCCCCACGAUAUUCUUGUCGAUCAGCGCCUC
rnacentral:misc_RNA from 1 species